GGUUAAGCGACUAAGCGUACACGGUGGAUGCCCUGGCAGUCAGAGGCGAUGAAGGACGUGCUAAUCUGCGAUAAGCGUCGGUAAGGUGAUAUGAACCGUUAUAACCGGCGAUUUCCGAAUGGGGAAACCCAGUGUGAUUCGUCACACUAUCAUUAACUGAAUCCAUAGGUUAAUGAGGCGAACCGGGGGAACUGAAACAUCUAAGUACCCCGAGGAAAAGAAAUCAACCGAGAUUCCCCCAGUAGCGGCGAGCGAACGGGGAGCAGCCCAGAGCCUGAAUCAGUGUGUGUGUUAGUGGAAGCGUCUGGAAAGGCGCGCGAUACAGGGUGACAGCCCCGUACACAAAAAUGCACAUGCUGUGAGCUCGAUGAGUAGGGCGGGACACGUGGUAUCCUGUCUGAAUAUGGGGGGACCAUCCUCCAAGGCUAAAUACUCCUGACUGACCGAUAGUGAACCAGUACCGUGAGGGAAAGGCGAAAAGAACCCCGGCGAGGGGAGUGAAAAAGAACCUGAAACCGUGUACGUACAAGCAGUGGGAGCCUCUUUAUGGGGUGACUGCGUACCUUUUGUAUAAUGGGUCAGCGACUUAUAUUCUGUAGCAAGGUUAACCGAAUAGGGGAGCCGAAGGGAAACCGAGUCUUAACUGGGCGUUAAGUUGCAGGGUAUAGACCCGAAACCCGGUGAUCUAGCCAUGGGCAGGUUGAAGGUUGGGUAACACUAACUGGAGGACCGAACCGACUAAUGUUGAAAAAUUAGCGGAUGACUUGUGGCUGGGGGUGAAAGGCCAAUCAAACCGGGAGAUAGCUGGUUCUCCCCGAAAGCUAUUUAGGUAGCGCCUCGUGAAUUCAUCUCCGGGGGUAGAGCACUGUUUCGGCAAGGGGGUCAUCCCGACUUACCAACCCGAUGCAAACUGCGAAUACCGGAGAAUGUUAUCACGGGAGACACACGGCGGGUGCUAACGUCCGUCGUGAAGAGGGAAACAACCCAGACCGCCAGCUAAGGUCCCAAAGUCAUGGUUAAGUGGGAAACGAUGUGGGAAGGCCCAGACAGCCAGGAUGUUGGCUUAGAAGCAGCCAUCAUUUAAAGAAAGCGUAAUAGCUCACUGGUCGAGUCGGCCUGCGCGGAAGAUGUAACGGGGCUAAACCAUGCACCGAAGCUGCGGCAGCGACGCUUAUGCGUUGUUGGGUAGGGGAGCGUUCUGUAAGCCUGUGAAGGUGUACUGUGAGGUAUGCUGGAGGUAUCAGAAGUGCGAAUGCUGACAUAAGUAACGAUAAAGCGGGUGAAAAGCCCGCUCGCCGGAAGACCAAGGGUUCCUGUCCAACGUUAAUCGGGGCAGGGUGAGUCGACCCCUAAGGCGAGGCCGAAAGGCGUAGUCGAUGGGAAACAGGUUAAUAUUCCUGUACUUGGUGUUACUGCGAAGGGGGGACGGAGAAGGCUAUGUUGGCCGGGCGACGGUUGUCCCGGUUUAAGCGUGUAGGCUGGUUUUCCAGGCAAAUCCGGAAAAUCAAGGCUGAGGCGUGAUGACGAGGCACUACGGUGCUGAAGCAACAAAUGCCCUGCUUCCGGGGAAAAGCCUCUAAGCAUCAGGUAACAUCAAAUCGUACCCCAAACCGACACAGGUGGUCAGGUAGAGAAUACCAAGGCGCUUGAGAGAACUCGGGUGAAGGAACUAGGCAAAAUGGUGCCGUAACUUCGGGAGAAGGCACGCUGAUAUGUAGGUGAAGUCCCUCGCGGAUGGAGCUGAAAUCAGUCGAAGAUACCAGCUGGCUGCAACUGUUUAUUAAAAAACACAGCACUGUGCAAACACGAAAGUGGACGUAUACGGUGUGACGCCUGCCCGGUGCCGGAAGGUUAAUUGAUGGGGUCAGCGCAAGCGAAGCUCUUGAUCGAAGCCCCGGUAAACGGCGGCCGUAACUAUAACGGUCCUAAGGUAGCGAAAUUCCUUGUCGGGUAAGUUCCGACCUGCACGAAUGGCGUAAUGAUGGCCAGGCUGUCUCCACCCGAGACUCAGUGAAAUUGAACUCGCUGUGAAGAUGCAGUGUACCCGCGGCAAGACGGAAAGACCCCGUGAACCUUUACUAUAGCUUGACACUGAACAUUGAGCCUUGAUGUGUAGGAUAGGUGGGAGGCUUUGAAGUGUGGACGCCAGUCUGCAUGGAGCCGACCUUGAAAUACCACCCUUUAAUGUUUGAUGUUCUAACGUGGACCCGUGAUCCGGGUUGCGGACAGUGUCUGGUGGGUAGUUUGACUGGGGCGGUCUCCUCCUAAAGAGUAACGGAGGAGCACGAAGGUUGGCUAAUCUGGUCGGACAUCAGGAGGUUAGUGCAAUGGCAUAAGCCAGCUUGACUGCGAGCGUGACGGCGCGAGCAGGUGCGAAAGCAGGUCAUAGUGAUCCGGUGGUUCUGAAUGGAAGGGCCAUCGCUCAACGGAUAAAAGGUACUCCGGGGAUAACAGGCUGAUACCGCCCAAGAGUUCAUAUCGACGGCGGUGUUUGGCACCUCGAUGUCGGCUCAUCACAUCCUCGGGGCUGAAGUAGGUCCCAAGGGUAUGGCUGUUCGCCAUUUAAAGUGGUACGCGAGCUGGGUUUAGAACGUCGUGAGACAGUUCGGUCCCUAUCUGCCGUGGGCGCUGGAGAACUGAGGGGGGGGCUGCUCCUAGUACGAGAGGACCGGAGUGGACGCAUCACUGGUGUUCGGGUUGUCAUGCCAAUGGCACUGCCCGGUAGCUAAAUGCGGAAGAGAUAAGUGCUGAAAGCAUCUAAGCACGAAACUUGCCCCGAGAUGAGUUCUCCCUGACCCUUUAAGGGUCCUGAAGGAACGUUGAAGACGACGACGUUGAUAGGCCGGGUGUGUAAGCGCAGCGAUGCGUUGAGCUAACCGGUACUAAUGAACCGUGAGGCUUAACCUU
rnacentral:rRNA from 1 species